rnacentral:rRNA from 1 species
AUUGAACGCUGGCGGCAUGCCUUACACAUGCAAGUCGAACGGCAGCACGGGAGCAAUCCUGGUGGCGAGUGGCGAACGGGUGAGUAAAGUAUCGGAACGUGCCCAGUCGUGGGGGAUAACGUAGCGAAAGUUACGCUAAUACCGCAUACGAUCUAUGGAUGAAAGCGGGGGAUCGCAAGACCUCGCGCGAUUGGAGCGGCCGAUAUCAGAUUAGGUAGUUGGUGGGGUAAAGGCUCACCAAGCCGACGAUCUGUAGCUGGUCUGAGAGGACGACCAGCCACACUGGGACUGAGACACGGCCCAGACUCCUGCGGGAGGCAGCAGUGGGGAAUUUUGGACAAUGGGCGAAAGCCUGAUCCAGCCAUGCCGCGUGCAGGAUGAAGGCCUUCGGGUUGUAAACUGCUUUUGUACGGAACGAAAAGGUUUGGGCUAAUAAGCUGAGCUCGUGACGGUACCGUAAGAAUAAGCACCGGCUAACUACGUGCCAGCCGCCGCAGUAA